UGCAAGUCGAACGGUAGAGGGGGCAACCCCUUGAGAGUGGCGAACGGGUGAGUAAUGUAUCGGAACGUGCCCAGUCGUGGGGGAUAACGUAGUGAAAAUUACGCUAAUACCGCAUACGAUCUAUGGAUGAAAGCGGGGGAUCGCAAGACCUCGCGCGAUUGGAGCGGCCGAUAUCAGAUUAGGUAGUUGGUGGGGUAAAGGCUCACCAAGCCAACGAUCUGUAGCUGGUCUGAGAGGACGACCAGCCACACUGGAACUGAGACACGGUCCAGACUCCUACGGGAGGCAGCAGUGGGGAAUUUUGGACAAUGGACGCAAGUCUGAUCCAGCCAUUCCGCGUGCAGGACGAAGGCCUUCGGGUUGUAAACUGCUUUUGUACGGAACGAAAAAGCUCUUAUUAAUACUAGGAGUCCAUGACGGUACCGUAAGAAUAAGCACCGGCUAACUACGUGCCAGCAGCCGCGGUAAUACGUAGGGUGCAAGCGUUAAUCGGAAUUACUGGGCGUAAAGCGUGCGCAGGCGGUUAUAUAAGACAGAUGUGAAAUCCCCGAGCUUAACUUGGGAACUGCAUUUGUGACUGUAUAGCUAGAGUACGGCAGAGGGGGAUGGAAUUCCGCGUGUAGCAGUGAAAUGCGUAGAUACGCGGAGGAACACCGAUGGCGAAGGCAAUCCCCUGGGCCUGUACUGACGCUCAUGCACGAAAGCGUGGGGAGCAAACAGGAUUAGAUACCCUGGUAGUCCACGCCCUAAACGAUGUCAACUGGUUGUUGGGUCUUCACUGACUCAGUAACGAAGCUAACGCGUGAAGUUGACCGCCUGGGGAGUACGGCCGCAAGGGUGAAACCCAAAGGAAUUGACGGGGACCCGCACAAGCGGUGGACGAUGUGGUUUAAUUCGAUGCAACGC
rnacentral:rRNA from 1 species